rnacentral:rRNA from 1 species
AUGCUGAGGUUACUGCUCAUUUGGGCAGCGAUCUUGGGCUGCUGCCAUGGGCAGUCCGAAGUGUCCCGGAGGAACAGCCUCCUGAAGGUGAUGUCACCGCCGGAGCUCGAGGGCACGUACGGCUGUGCCAGUGCCGACUUCGGUUUCCCGCAGCACGCUGGCUCCAUGACUGGCGUGGUCGUCUACCCAAGGCCCAACACGAUGGCCUGCAUGAACUUCGAUGACUUUGGCAUCUCUUUCCGUUCGCGUCGAGCUGGCGGGCCUCCUGUUAUCUUGCUCGUAGACAGGGGAGGUUGUUACUUCACAACCAAGGUGCAGAAUGGGCAGAAAGCAGGAGCAGCAGCAGUCCUUAUUGUUAAUCACAGAAAUGAACCUUUAUUUGCAAUAGACGAACCAGAAAGUGGAGAGACAACACUCGAUUUACACUUACAGGAUAUUACCAUUCCUUCAGCACUUAUAACCAAAAGCCUUGGGGAGAGUCUAAGGAAAGCAAGUAACAAUGGCGACUUGGUUAAUGUAAACUUGGACUGGGAGGAGUCCCGGCCGCACCCUCAUGAGCGUGCCGAGUAUGAAUUUUGGACAAACGGUAACGAUGAAUGUGGUCCAAAAUGCGAUGAGCAAGUUGAUUUCCUGAAGAGAUUCAAAGGUGUAGCCCAGACACUCGAGAAGAAGGGCUAUACACAGUUCACUCCUCAUUACAUUACUUGGUAUUGCCCAGAGAACUUUGUCUUAAGCAAGCAGUGCAAGUCCCAAUGUAUCAACCAUGGGAGGUAUUGUGCGCCAGACCCGGAACAAGGUUUCAGCAAAGGGUACGAUGGGAGAGAUGUGGUGCUUCAGAACUUAUAUCAAAUUUGUGUGUUCAAAGUUGCAAAGAAGACUGGGAAGCCUUGGUUAUGGUGGGACUAUGUGACUCAUUUUGCUAUUAUGUGCCCAAUGAAGAAAAAGAUGUACACUCAUGAAUGUGCUUCCGGAGUAAUCAGAUCACUUGGCCUUAGUCAGAAAGCAGUUGACAUGUGUGUUGGUGAUCCUCAUGCGGACGAGGAUCAUCCUGUGCUAAAAGAUGAGCAAGAUGCACAGAUUGGCAAGGGUUCUCGCAGUGAUGUUACUAUGUUACCAACACUUGUAAUCAACAAUAGGCAAUACAAAGGGAAACUUGAAAAAGGAGCAGUUCUUAGAGCUCUCUGCGCCAGCUUUCGAGAAAAUAAUGAACCAUCUGUUUGCUCAAACGAAGAAGAAGACAUACAAACCAAUCAAUGCUUGGACAACAAUGGCGGUUGUUGGCAAGAUAUGGCUGCUAACGUGACUGCGUGCAAGGACACCUCCACUGGAACAGUUUGUGAAUGUCCAGUUUUGCAAGGUGUGAAGUACAUUGGUGAUGGUUACAACCACUGCGAAGCUCCCAUGUAUGUCCAGAUAGAGACCAUCAAUCAAGACUGGCCCCAGCCGAUCAAGAUCCGUAAUACCCAUACAUAUUCUUCUUAUUUAACAGAGGUUGUCCAUAAGGCCAUUUACAACCUCUUUUCAGGAAUAUUUGUGGCACAUAAGGUGUUCUAA